rnacentral:rRNA from 1 species
CACGCCGUAAACGAUGAGUACUAAGUGUCGGACGAAUCCGGUGCUGCAGUUAACGCAUUAAGUACUCCGCCUGAGUAGUACGUGCGCAAGCAUAAAACUCAAAGGAAUUGGCGGGACCUCGCACAAGCGGUGGAUCAUGUUGUUUAAUUCGACGAUACGCGAAGAACCUUACCAGGCCUUGACAUACCGAGCAAAGCUAUGGAAACAUAGUGGAGGGUAACUGGGAUACAGGUGG